UACGGAGGGGGCUAGCGUUGUUCGGAAUUACUGGGCGUAAAGCGCGCGUAGGCGGACCUGCAAGUCGGGGGUGAAAGCCCGAGGCUCAACCUCGGAACUGCCUUCGAUACUGCAAAUCUCGAGUCCGAUAGAGGUGGGUGGAAUUCCUAGUGUAGAGGUGAAAUUCGUAGAUAUUCGCAAGAACACCAGUGGCGAAGGCGGCUCACUGGCCCGGUACUGACGCUGAGGUGCGAAAGCGUGGGGAGCAAACAGG
rnacentral:rRNA from 1 species